UCGUUUCCAUACCAAAGUCGAAAAGUGUGUCUGGAAGUUUUUGGAAUAUUUUGGAAUUUGAAAAAAUAAAUGGACUUAGACAUUUUUUGCUUUGGAAAGUAGUGGAAUUCUUUGGAAAAAAUGAUAAAAUGGGAAACUUAGCCAUUUUCUGCUCUGGAAAACUGUGGAAAAUUACUUAGAAUUUUUUUAACUGUCGACCAAUAGUACAAUAACAUCGGGAUCGAAGUCGGGCUCGAUGAACAAUUAAUUUAAACAACAAGCCGAAAUUCAAAAAUAUCGAAUGCCAUGUUGAUGUUGCACAGAAGGAAAGUUGGAAAGAGAGUGUCUAGAACAGGGGAAUCUUGAUUAGCUUUAGAUGGAAGAGGAUGAAGACAUUUUAAGACCCGCUGUUGCUGCAUAAAAAUGUGCCUGAGAUGAUCCCCUCAGCGCUGGCGUUUGAUAACUUGGUGGAUGUAGAUGCUUAGCCAGUCAGUCUCUAGGCUUGUGAAUAUGGAAUCCGGGUGCUCACAAGGACAAGAGGUGUAUG